GCGGGUGUGGCGGAACGGUAGACGCAGAGGACUCAAAAUCCUCCGCACGCGAGUGUGUGUCGGUUCGAAUCCGACCACCCGCACCA
rnacentral:tRNA from 1 species